ACGGGUGAGUAACGCGUGGGAAUCUACCCAUCUCUACGGAAUAACGCAUGGAAACGUGUGCUAAUACCGUAUACGUCCUUCGGGAGAAAGAUUUAUCGGAGAUGGAUGAGCCCGCGUUGGAUUAGCUAGUUGGUGGGGUAAAGGCCUACCAAGGCGACGAUCCAUAGCUGGUCUGAGAGGAUGAUCAGCCACACUGGGACUGAGACACGGCCCAGACUCCUACGGGAGGCAGCAGUGGGGAAUAUUGGACAAUGGGCGCAAGCCUGAUCCAGCCAUGCCGCGUGAGUGAUGAAGGCCCUAGGGUUGUAAAGCUCUUUCACCGGUGAAGAUAAUGACGGUAACCGGAGAAGAAGCCCCGGCCAACUUCGUGCCAGCAGCCGCGGUAAUACGAAGGGGGCUAGCGUUGUUCGGAUUUACUGGGCGUAAAGCGCACGUAGGCGGACUAUUAAGUCAGGGGUGAAAUCCCGGGGCUCAACCCCGGAACUGCCUUUGAUACUGGUAGUCUUGAGUUCGAGAGAGGUGAGUGGAAUUCCGAGUGUAGAGGUGAAAUUCGUAGA
rnacentral:rRNA from 1 species